GAGCUGGGUUCAGAACGUCGUGAGACAGUUCGGUCCCUAUCCAUCGUGGGCGCAGGAGAUUUGAAAGGAGCUGUCCUUAGUACGAGAGGACCAGGAUGGACGCACCUAUGGUGUACCGGUUGUUCUGCCAAGAGCAUGGCCGGGUAGCUAAGUGCGGACGGGAUAAACGCUGAAAGCAUCUAAGCGUGAAGCCCCCCUUAAGAUAAGAUCUCCCAUCCUUAUGGAGUAAGACCCCUUGAAGACUACAAGGUAGAUAGGCCGGAGGUGGAAGCGCAGUAAUGCGUGCAGCUGACCGGUACUAAUAGGUCGAGGGCUUGAUCAAG
rnacentral:rRNA from 1 species